CCUACGGGAGGCUGCAGUGGGGAAUUUUGGACAAUGGGCGCAAGCCUGAUCCUGCUACUCCGCGUGUGGGAAUACGGCCUUCGGGUUGUAAACCACUUUUGUAGAGAACGCAAAGUCUAUUGAUAAUACCGCUAGACGAUGACGGUACUCUAUGUAUAAGCACCGGCUAACUACGUGCCAGCAGCCGCGGUAAUACGUAGGGUGCGAGCGUUAAUCGGAAUUACUGGGCGUAAAGGGUGUGCGGGUGGUUUUGCAAGAUGGAUGAGAAAGCCCCGGGCUUAACCUGGGAAAGCCAUACAUGACUGCAAGACUAGAGUGCGUCAGAGGGGGGUGGAAUUCCAAGUGUAGCAGUGAAAUGCGUAGAUAUUUGGAAGAACACCGAUGGCGAAGGCAGCCCCCUGGGACGCAACUGACGCUCAUACACGAAAGCGUGGGGAGCAAAAAGGAUGAGAUACCCGAGUAGUC
rnacentral:rRNA from 1 species